UUUUUGCAAAAUUGCGAUAUUUGUGUUUCCAGAAUUGUCUAGGUGAGCUGCGUCGACUUAGAAAAACAUCUUUAGCGCCAAAGGUCACAGAACGUCAUAAUUUCAUUUUUUAAAUUUACGAUCGUAUGCGCCUUCAAUAUGUAAAAUAUCGCAAGCUAGAUUAUUAUCAGAGUAAACUUAUUAUCCACCAAAUAAUUUAAAAUAUCGUAAGCUUGUGUCGCUUACAUUUUAUUCGAUAGCGAAACUCUUAAAACAGUUACCAAAAGAUUCAGCAUAAAUAUUGUAACCGCCCGUCCCUUACGAUAUUUUGUUUUUUUAAUCGUUAUGUUUCGCGCCAAAAUUAGGGUAUGAAAUAUCACAACCGCCCAAAAUAUUCAUAUAAAUAAACGUAUCCGCCUGUCGCUUACGAUAUAUUGGAAAUCGUGGUAUAUCAGACACGUUGGUUCUCGUCGGAUGUUAAAUAAUCGUAACGACCAAACUAAAUCAGUUUUUUAACCCUCCUCGUGGAAAGCGGACGUGUUUUUAGUGUGUUUUGUUGUUAUACUGUUAUUUAUUUAUCCUAAAAAUGUCUAGGGGCUUACGGUGUCUGAAUUUAUGUAUUAAAAGUAAAGAAGCUGUUGAAACCCUGAAAUUGCGACUCACAAACGAAGAGUUUUCCGAAGGAACAACAAUGUUUCAAAAGACGUUGGCGGUACUCCCACAAACAAAGGGAGACGAAUCUAAAGAUGCUCCAGACCCCAUGACUAUUCUUGACAAUGUUAAUGACAAUGCUUUUUUUGAGCAAAAUCCAGAAUUAUUCUUUCAACCCAAGCCUGAUAAGGAAAUUAUUGUUAAUAAAUUAGCGGGACAUGAAGUUACGGUACAUUCACAAACAAACGGUGACGAACCUAAAAAUGACCCAGAAACAAUUAUGACCUACACUAUUCUCGAAAAUGUUAUCGACAGUGUUAUUUCUGAGGUAACUGUGAGAACUCCACUCUAACAGGACGUAUGCAAAAUCCAACAAACAUUUACCAUUUUUUAGCAAAAUCCAGAGUUAUCUCUGCAACCCAAAGGUGAUCAAGAAGUUACUAUGAAUCAACCAUUAGCAGGAGGAGCCGCUGAAACUACCGACCUUGAUAAAGACAACAUCCCUAUUAUUAUUAUACAACCAAAUGGAACAGUUGUUUCUAAUGAGGAAAAUAGUAUUGCCAUGAAUUCAUUCAGUGCUGCGGUAGCUGACCUCAAUCUUACUGGUGUAUCAGACCUUGACUUCCUGAUGAACGAAAGUGUUCUGGAACCAUCUUGCAAUGAAACAAUAAGUGCUGAAAUUAUGACGUUUCCAUUCGAUAAUAAUAGUUCAAGUAUAGAAAGUUAUGAUCCCCAGUCUAAAGUAACUUCUUCUGGUACCCCCAUUCUUUGCUCAGAUUAACACUAAUAAAUUAUUUAAAAUAUAAAUUAUCAAUACUAAACUACAGUCAGGACAUUUUUCUUUUAGCAAACAGUGACAACUCUUCAGAACAAUAAAUCCACAGAUGAUAACAAGCAAUGGCUAUGAAUAUUGACAGAGAAGAUAAUGAUAAUAAUGAAGAAGACAUUAGUUCAGAAGAUCAAAGCAGUGAUUGGGCUAGCACUGGUUUGUCAAAACAUAAAAUCAAAAAACCAAAUAAAAGGCUAGAAAAAAAGAAACUAAAGAGUUCUGGUGUAAAUAAAGCAGUAAAGACAAAUCCAUGUGCUGGGAAAAAAUUUCAGAAUAAUUGUAAAUCCGUAAGUGAAACUGACAGAAAGCAAAUAUUUAAUGCCUAUUAUGAACUUGAGACCUAUAAAGAAAAGAAAAGUUGGCAAAUUCAAUGUAUGAAGCAAAAAAGAAACAGGAAGAAAACGUACCAAGAAUAAUAAUUCCAAGCAACAAAAAACUAUAGAAUAUAACUUAACAGUACAAGGAGAACAAAAAAGAGUUUGUCAGCAGUUUAUACUAAAAACCCUGGAUAUCAGUCAAAUGUCUUUGCGACAAACCAUAAACAAUGUUUCUAAGACAGGAAUGAUUAAAAAAGACUCGCGAGGUCGCUGUGCACCAAAAAAUAAGACAUCUGAACAAUCUAUUAAACAUGUCAAUGAUUUUAUUAAAAAAAUACUAGUUGGUCCAUCCCAUUAUUGCCGCUCCCAAACAAAGAAACUUUACAUGCUUUCUGAAAUUGGAAACUUUUCAAAUCUAUACAGAUUGUAUAAAGAAGAUUGUAAAAUACAAAAAAUGGAUCCAGUGAGCAGAGCAACGUUUUUAAGGAUUUUUAAAGGUUACAAUCUAGGCAUUCAUGUAAAAAAAAAAAGAUAAAUGCAGUCUUUGUGAAAGGGUCCUAAGUACAGGCGAAAAAAAUGUAGAAGCAGCAGAUUUAGAAAACUAUCUGCGUCAUAGAGAAGAGAUAAAAAACAGUCGUGAUAAAUUUAAAAAAGAUCAAGAAAAUUGCGACCCAAAUUU